CUCUUCUGAUGCUUGUAAUUGAGUCUGAGAAAGUUCAUCAGCGUGCAACCUAUAAAUACCCUACAGGUCUUUCUGCAAUCGGCAUGGUCAGGAGUUACCAUUGCAUUGGCUGGUGAUCAAAUUGUAUGCUUCAUGAUCUCCAAGGAAGGGAAUUCAACAUGAAGAGAUUUUUACUUGAUACUACCAAUCCAACCAAAUUAAUGAAAGCAUAUGGAAGUGUCAGACAAUGCUGUGUAAACAUAGGGUCUAAUUUCCAACCACAUGUCAGCAGAUGUUUCUUGUUCUUGCACUUGUAGAUCCUAAAUCCACUUCAAACUUCAUGGUCACACUGCCCAUCACAUUUUUAUCUUCUUCUUCUUCUUCUUCUUCUCACCAGCUGCUGCAUUUUGUACAUUAUGCUCUUCUCAUUUGUAUGUGUGUCUUCUUGGAAGUGGUGGUUAAAAUUGCUGGACAUGAGCUUAGAUUU